rnacentral:pre_miRNA from 1 species
UCCACACCCAUGUGUGUAGGACCUCAAAGGAUCACCAUUAAAUUUGUCACAGAUCUCUAAAAAAAUUAUCACAUGUGUGUCGGACUUGACUUUUCUAUAGAUCUGUGUCAAAUUUAAUGGUGAUCCUUUGGGGUCCUAUACACAUGGGUCUGGG